rnacentral:rRNA from 1 species
GAUGAACGCUGGCGGCGUGCUUAACACAUGCAAGUCGAACGAUGAAGCCCAGCUUGCUGGGUGGAUUAGUGGCGAACGGGUGAGUAACACGUGAGUAACCUGCCCUUGACUCUGGGAUAAGCCCGGGAAACUGGGUCUAAUACCGGAUAGGAGCGCCUGUCGCAUGACGGGUGUUGGAAAGAUUUUUCGGUCAUGGAUGGACUCGCGGCCUAUCAGCUUGUUGGUGAGGUAAUGGCUCACCAAGGCGACGACGGGUAGCCGGCCUGAGAGGGUGACCGGCCACACUGGGACUGAGACACGGCCCAGACUCCUACGGGAGGUAGCAGUGGGGAAUAUUGCACAAUGGGCGGAAGCCUGAUGCAGCGACGCCGCGUGAGGGAUGACGGCCUUCGGGUUGUAAACCUCUUUCAGUAGGGAAGAAGCGAAAGUGACGGUACCUGCAGAAGAAGCACCGGCUAACUACGUG